rnacentral:rRNA from 1 species
CCCCUAGAUGUUCUGGGCCGCACGCGCGCUACACUGAACAGUUCAACAAGUCUUAACCUUGGCCGAUAGGUCUGGGUAAUCUUUGAACGCUGUUCGUGAUUGGGAUAGACCUUUGCACUUAUGGGUCUUCAACGAGGAAUUCCUAGUAAACGCAAGUCAUCAGCUUGCAUUGAUUACGUCCCUGCCCUUUGUACACACCGCCCGUCGCACCUACCGAUUGAAUGGUCCGGUGAAAUCUCGGGACGGCGGCUUGGUCGCUUGCGUCCGACUGCUGAAACUUGAUUAAACCAUAUCAUUUAGAGGAAGGUGAAGUCGUAACA